rnacentral:rRNA from 1 species
AUUGAACGCUGGCGGCAGGCCUAACACAUGCAAGUCGAACGAGUGGCGGACGGGUGAGUAAUGUCUGGAAACCUCCCCGAUGGAGGGGAUUAACUACGGGAAACGGUAGCUAUUACCGCAUACCAUCGGAUGUGCCCAGAUGGGUUUAGCUAGUAGGUGGGGUAACGGGUCACAGAGGCGACGAUCCCUAGCUGGUCUGAGAGGAGGACCAGCCACACUGGAACGGUGACACGGGCCAGACUCCGACGGUAGGCAGCAGUGGGGAAUAUUGCACAAUGGGCGCAAGCCUGAAGCAGCCAUGCCGCGUGUAUGAAGAAGGCCUUCGGGUUGUAAAGUACUUUCAGCGAGGAGGCGUUACUCGCAGAAGAAGCACCGGCUAACUCCGUGCCAGCAGCCGCGGUAAUAC